GAGUUUGAUCAUGGCUCACAUUUAACGCUGGCGGCAGGCCUAACACAUGCAAGUCGAGCGGAAACGAGUUAUCUGAACCUUCGGGGAACGAUAACGGCGUCGAGCGGCGGACGGGUGAGUAAUGCCUAGGAAAUUGCCCUGAUGUGGGGGAUAACCAUUGGAAACGAUGGCUAAUACCGCAUAAUACCUACGGGUCAAAGAGGGGGACCUUCGGGCCUCUCGCGUCAGGAUAUGCCUAGGUGGGAUUAGCUAGUUGGUGAGGUAAUGGCUCACCAAGGCGACGAUCCCUAGCUGGUCUGAGAGGAUGAUCAGCCACACUGGAACUGAGACACGGUCCAGACUCCUACGGGAGGCAGCAGUGGGGAAUAUUGCACAAUGGGCGCAAGCCUGAUGCAGCCAUGCCGCGUGUGUGAAGAAGGCCUUCGGGUUGUAAAGCACUUUCAGUCGUGAGGAAGGUGGUAGUGUUAAUAGCACUAUCAUUUGACGUUAGCGACAGAAGAAGCACCGGCUAACUCCGUGCCAGCAGCCGCGGUAAUACGGAGGGUGCGAGCGUUAAUCGGAAUUACUGGGCGUAAAGCGCAUGCAGGUGGUUUGUUAAGUCAGAUGUGAAAGCCCGGGGCUCAACCUCGGAAUAGCAUUUGAAACUGGCAGACUAGAGUACUGUAGAGGGGGGUAGAAUUUCAGGUGUAGCGGUGAAAUGCGUAGAGAUCUGAAGGAAUACCGGUGGCGAAGGCGGCCCCCUGGACAGAUACUGACACUCAGAUGCGAAAGCGUGGGGAGCAAACAGGAUUAAAUACCCUGGUAGUCCACGCCGUAAACGAUGUCUACUUGGAGGUUGUGGCCUUGAGCCGUGGCUUUCGGAGCUAACGCGUUAAGUAGACCGCCUGGGGAGUACNGUCNCCAGAAUUAAAACUCNAA
rnacentral:rRNA from 1 species